rnacentral:rRNA from 1 species
CCUACGGGGAGCAGCAGUGAGGAAUAUUGGUCAAUGGGCGCGAGCCUGAACCAGCCAAGUCGCGUGAGGGAAGACGGUCCUAUGGAUUUUAAACCUCUUUUGUCGGGAGCAAAAGACGCCACGCGUGGCGUUCCGAGAGUACCCGAAGAAAAAGCAUCGGCUAACUCCGGGCCAGCAGCCGCGGUAAUACGGAGGAUGCGAUCGUUAUCCGGAUUUAUUGGGUUUAAAGGGUGCGCAGGCGGAAGUUCAAGUCAGCGGUAAAAUUGAGAGGCUCAACCGCUUCGAGCCGUUGAAAGUGGUUUUCUUGAGUGAGCGAGAAGUAUGCGGAAUUCGUGGUGUAGCGGUGAAAUGCAUAGAUAUCAGGAGGAACAUCGGUGGCAUAAGCGCUUUACUGGGCCGUAAUUGACGCUGAGGAACGAAAGCCAGGGUAGCAAAUGGGAUUAGAUACCCCAGUAGUC